UGCUCAGGUGGUGGAAUUGGUAUACACAUACGCUUGAGGUGCGUAUGCCGUAAGGCUUGGGGGUUCGAGUCCCCUCUUGAGCAA
rnacentral:tRNA from 1 species